AGCGAACGCUGGCGGCAGGCUUAACACAUGCAAGUCGAGCGGGCAUCUUCGGAUGUCAGCGGCAGACGGGUGAGUAACACGGGGGAACGUACCCUUCGGUUCGGUACAACUCUGGGAAACUGGAUCUAAUACCGGAUACGCCCCUAUGGGGAAAGGUUUACUGCCGAAGGAUCGGCCCGCGUCUGAUUAGCUAGUUGGUGGGGUAACGGCCUACCAAGGCGACGAUCAGUAGCUGGUCUGAGAGGAUGAUCAGCCACACUGGGACUGAGACACGGCCCAGACUCCUACGGGAGGCAGCAGUGGGGAAUAUUGGGCAAUGGGCGCAAGCCUGAUGCAGCCAUGCCGCGUGAGUGAUGAAGGCCUUAGGGUUGUAAAGCUCUUUUGUCCGGGACGAUAAUGACGGUACCGGAAGAAUAAGCCCCGGCUAACUUCGUG
rnacentral:rRNA from 1 species